rnacentral:rRNA from 1 species
UACAGAGGGUGCAAGCGUUAAUCGGAAUUACUGGGCGUAAAGCGUGCGUAGACGGUAGCGUAAGUCGGGUGUGAAAGCCCCGGGCUCAACCUGGGAAUUGCAUUCGAGACUGCUCUGCUAGGGUGCGGAAGAGGGAAGCGGAAUUUCCGGUGUAGCGGUGAAAUGCGUAGAUAUCGGAAGGAACACCAGUGGCGAAAGCGGCGCACUGGACCAUAACUGACGCUGAUGCGCGAAAGCUAGGGGAGCAAACAGG